rnacentral:tRNA from 1 species
GCAUUGGUGGUUCCGUGGCAGAAUCUUGGCCUUUUACUCAGGAGACCCGGGUUCAAUUCCUGGCCAACGCG